AUACACAGCAGCACGUGUUUUUCCGCCUCCCGUCGGCAGCCAAAUAAUUGUGUUCUCUCCCAGAAGAGCCCUUUCGACCACUUCCUUCUGCUUCGCCUUGUCCACUGCCACCAAACAGUGCAGUUGGUGGGGGUUUUAAAUUCUGUUGCGAUCAGCUGUGUGACGCGGAGGCACGGAAACGAAAAUGAAAGACUUUGAACUCUGAAAAAUGGCCCCACUGAGGGAGGCUCUGGAGGAACAACAUAUAGUCUUCCUUUUGCAGUGACUGGGGAAGACUGAAAUACAGUGACAUAAAAUUGGUCUUUUUUAAAUGAAA